UACGAAGGGGGCUAGCGUUGCUCGGAAUCACUGGGCGUAAAGCGCACGUGGGCGGCUUACUAAGUCAGGGGUGAAAUCCUGGAGCUCAACUCCAGAACUGCCUUUGAUACUGGUGAGCUUGAGUCCGGAAGAGGUGAGUGGAACUGCGAGUGUAGAGGUGAAAUUCGUAGAUAUUCGCAAGAACACCAGUGGCGAGGGCGGCUCACUGGUCCGGUACUGACGCUGAGGUGCGAAAGCGUGGGGAGCAAACAGG
rnacentral:rRNA from 1 species